rnacentral:rRNA from 1 species
AGGACGAACGCUGGCGGCGCGCUUAACACAUGCAAGUCGAGCGAGAACCAGUCCUUCGGGGCUGGGGACAGCGGCGAACGGGUGAGUAACACGUGGAUAAUCAACCCUCGACACUGGGAUAGCCCGGGGAAACCCGGAUUAAUACCGGAUGUCCCAUCCGCCUCUCGAGGCGGCUGGAAAAGGUAGCUUCGGCCUCUGGUCGGGGACGAGUCCGCGGCGGAUUAGCUUGUUGGCGGGGUAAAAGCCCACCAAGGCGACGAUCCGUAGCUGGUCUGAGAGGACGAUCAGCCACACUGGGACUGAGACACGGCCCAGACUCCUACGGAGGCAGCAGUGGGGAAUCUUGCGCAAUGGGCGAAAGCCUGACGCAGCGACGCCGCGUGAGGGAAGAAGGCCUUCGGGUUGUAAACCUCUUUCAGGAGGGACGAAGCCACUCGGGUUAACUAGCCCAGAGGGUGACGGUACCUCCAGAAGAAGCCCCGGCUAACUACGUGCCAGCAGCCGC